rnacentral:rRNA from 1 species
AAGCCUACUCUAGCCCGACCCCACCAAUACCCACCACACAUAGCACAUCAAAAAUUAACUUUACCGUCAAACUAAAACAUUCUUCUAACUUAGUAUAGGCGAUAGAAAAGACUUACUUCCGCUCGGCGCAAUAGAGACCAUGUACCGUAAGGGAAAGAUGAAAUAACAAUGAAAAACCAAGCGCCUAACAGCAAAGAUCAAUCCUUGUACCUUCUGCAUCAUGAUUUAGCAAGAACAACCAAGCAAAACGAAUUUAAGCUUGCCAUCCCGAAACCUGAGCGAGCUACUCACAAGCAGCUACCCCCUGAGCGAACCCGUCUCUGUUGCAAAAGAGUGGGAUGACUUGUUAGUAGAGGUGAAAAGCCAACCGAGCCAGGUGAUAGCUGGUUGCCCGUGAAAUGAAUAUUAGUUCUUCCUUAACUCCUCUCCUCGGAUCAACUUUACAACCCACAAUGUAGCGAGUCAAGAGUAAUUUAAAGGAGGUACAGCUCCUUUAAAAAAGAACACAAUCUCCCCUAGCGGAUAAAGCAAUCCAACACCUGCAUACCCCAAACUGUGGGCCUUUAAGCAGCCACCAACAAAGAGUGCGUCAAAGCUCUACACUUAAAAAUCCAAAGACAACAUGACUCCCUUACCACCAACGGGCCAACCUAUUUCAAUAGGAGAAUUAAUGCUAAAAUAAGUAACUAGGGGCUGCCCCUCUCAAGCGCAAGCUUACAUCAUCACAUUAUUAACAGGCCACUCAAAUACCACAACUCCAACAAGACUGAGUAUUAAACCUAUCCUGUUAACCCAACCCAGGAGUGCCCAUUAGAAAGAUUAAAAUCUGUAAAAGGAACUAGGCAAACCCAGGGCCCGACUGUUUACCAAAAACAUAGCCUUCAGCCAACCAAGUAUUGAAGGUGAUGCCUGCCCAGUGACCCCCUGUUCAACGGCCGCGGUAUCCUAACCGUGCGAAGGUAGCGCAAUCAAUUGUCCCAUAAAUCGAGACUUGUAUGAACGGCUAAACGAGGUCCUAACUGUCUCUUACAGAUAGUCAGUGAAAUUGAUCUCCCUGUGCAAAAGCAGGGAUAAACACAUAAGACGAGAAGACCCUGUGGAACUUUAAAAUCAACGGCCACUACACAACAAACCCAAACCUACUAGGCCCACUACCCCAAAACACUGGCUCGUAUUUUUCGGUUGGGGCGACCUUGGAGAAAAACAAACCCUCCAAAAACAGGACCACACCUCCUGACCAAGAGCAACCCAUCAACGUACAAAUAGUAACCAGACCCAAUACAAUUGACCAAUGGACCAAGCUACCCCAGGGAUAACAGCGCAAUCUCCCUCAAGAGCCCAUAUCGACAGGGAGGUUUACGACCUCGAUGUUGGAUCAGGACACCCUAGUGGUGCAGCCGCUACUAAGGGUUCGUUUGUUCAACGAUUAACAGUCCUACGUGAUCUGAGUUCAGACCGGAGCAAUCCAGGUCGGUUUCUAUCUAUGACAUACCUCUCCUAGUACGAAAGGACCGGAGAAGUGAGGCCAAUACUAUAAGCACGCCUCCCCUCUAAGUAAUGAACCCAACUAAACUACUAAGAGGUCCCUCAUACCCUUACGCCCUAGAAAAGGGCUG